rnacentral:rRNA from 1 species
AUCUUGCACAAUGGGCGAAAGCCUGAUGCAGCAACGCCGCGUGCGGGAAGAAGGCCCUAGGGUUGUAAACCGCUUUCAGUAGGGAAGAAAAUGACGGUACCUACAGAAGAAGGUGCGGCCAACUACGUGCCAGCAGCCGCGGUGACACGUAGGCACCAAGCGUUAUCCGGAUUUAUUGGGCGUAAAGAGCUCGUAGGCGGUUUGGUAAGUCGGGUGUGAAAACUUAGGGCUCAACCCUGAGAGGCCACUCGAUACUGCUAUGACUAGAGUACGGUAGGGGAGCGGGGAAUUCAUGGUGUAGCGGUGAAAUGCGCAGAUAUCAUGAGGAACACCAGCGGCGAAGGCGCCGCUCUGGGCCGUAACUGACGCUGAGGAGCGAAAGCAUGGGUAGCAAACAGG